AACAGAUGCUGAGGCCCAGAUUUCCCUGCCAAGCACUCCAAGGCUCAUCAUGCUCGGAGAGUCCAUUCUGGGGGCAAAAAAUGGAUGCUUUCCAUCGAGGGCAGAGUUCUCCUCCAAUUGAGUGACCGUUGUGAUUUCACUUCUGCUCUAGCCAUGUAUGAUGCAGCCACUACAUUGGAAUUUAUCCAGAGGGUAGAGUCCAGCCCAGGAAGUCAACUAGUUCAGGUCCAGUUUUAAAAGAAUAAUAGUUCUGAAAAAAACGUCUUGGAGAAAAACAAUAUUCAGGUUUGAAAUCCUGCUGUAAAUGUAAAUCAUUUAAUUUUUAUGCAUUUGUAAUUUACCAGAAACAUUUGAAUAAAUAUUGAUUGUUUUGUGUGUUCAGAAAAGUGUUUUUGUAUGAAGUGUUGAAAUUAAAUGAAAUAUUCACAGAAAAAUGUUAACAUAUUAAAAAAAAAUGUAUGUGUUCAGAAAAGUUUUGAGAUGUUCACAGAAAAAAUGUAACAUGUUGAAAAAAAUGUAU